ACUCAAAUGAAUUGACGGGGGCCCGCACAAGCGGUGGAUCAUGUGGUUUAAUUCGAAGCAACGCGCAGAACCUUACCUAGGUUUGACAUCUCUGGACAACUGUAGAAAUACGGCUUUUGUAGCAAUACAACCAGAAGACAGGUGCUGCAUGGCUGUCGUCAGCUCGUGUGGUGACAUGUUGGGUUAAGUCCCGCAACGAGCGCAACCCUUGCCUUUAGUUGCCAGCAUUCAGUUGGGCACUCUAGAGGGACUGCCGUGGUUAACACGGAGGAAGGUGGGGAUGACGUCAAGUCCUCAUGGCCUUUAUAUCUAGGGCGACACACGUGAUACAAUGGAUGGUACAGAGGGAAGCGAGCCCGCGAGGGGAAGCCAAUCUCAAAAAGCCAUUCUCAGUUCGGAUUGGAGUCUGCAACUCGACUCCAUGAAGUUGGAAUCGCUAGUAAUCGCGGAUCAGAACGCCGCGGUGAAUACGUUCCCGGGCCUUGUACACACCGCCCGU
rnacentral:rRNA from 1 species